rnacentral:rRNA from 1 species
CAGCAGCCACGGUAAUACGAAGGGUGCAAGCGUUAAUCGGAAUUACUGGGCGUAAAGCGUGCGUAGGCGGUGAGUUAAGUCUGCUGUGAAAUCCCCGGGCUCAACCUGGGAAUGGCAGUGGAUACUGGCUCGCUAGAGUGUGUCAGAGGAUGGUGGAAUUCCCGGUGUAGCGGUGAAAUGCGUAGAGAUCGGGAGGAACAUCAGUGGCGAAGGCGGCCAUCUGGGACAACACUGACGCUGAGGCACGAAAGCGUGGGGAGCAAACAGGAUUAGAUACCCCCGUAGUCCCUGUCUCUUAUAC